rnacentral:rRNA from 1 species
UUUCCGUAGGUGAACCUGCGGAAGGAUCAUUGUCGAAACCUGCCCAGCAGAACGACCCGUGAACAUGUUAUCUCACAUCGGGAGGGGAAUCGGCUUCGGUCACCUCUCCUCAUCGGUGGGUGCUCCUCGUGGGUGCCUUCCCGGUAAAACAAUGAACCCCGGCGCGGAACGCGCCAAGGAAAAUGUACAAUAGAGUGCCCACCCAACCUCGGUUUUCCGGUGGAUGGGUGUGGCACCUGACUUGAGUAAUUAAACGACUCUCGGCAACGGAUAUCUCGGCUCUCGCAUCGAUGAAGAACGUAGCGAAAUGCGAUACUUGGUGUGAAUUGCAGAAUCCCGUGAACCAUCGAGUCUUUGAACGCAAGUUGCGCCUGAAGCCAUUAGGCCGAAGGCACGUCUGCCUGGGCGUCACGCAUCGCGUCUCCCCCUCCCAUACCGAGUGGAGGGGAGGGGGAGGAGGAUGGCCUCCUGUGCCUUACUGGGUGCGGCUGGCCUAAAAAUGGAGUCCUCGGUAAUGAGUUGCCGCGGCGAUUGGUGGAUGACAAGGUCUCGGCCGUGGUUUGCAUCGCGUCGUGUGUGCACAUUGCCAGAUGGAGCUCGAAGGACCCUUGUUGAGACUCGUGCUCAAAACCUUUGCGACCCCAGGUCAGGCGGGGCUACCCGCUGAGUUUAA